GACGAACGCUGGCGGCGUGCUUAACACAUGCAAGUCGAACGGAAAGGCCCUGCUUUUGUGGGGUGCUCGAGUGGCGAACGGGUGAGUAACACGUGAGUAACCUGCCCUUGACUUUGGGAUAACUUCAGGAAACUGGGGCUAAUACCGGAUAUGAGCUCCUGCUGCAUGGUGGGGGUUGGAAAGUUUCGGCGGUUGGGGAUGGACUCGCGGCUUAUCAGCUUGUUGGUGGGGUAGUGGCUUACCAAGGCUUUGACGGGUAGCCGGCCUGAGAGGGUGACCGGCCACAUUGGGACUGAGAGACGGCCCAGACUCCUACGGGAGGCAGCAGUGGGGAAUAUUGCACAAUGGGCGGAAGCCUGAUGCAGAAACGCCGCGUGCGGGAUGACGGCCUUCGGGUUGUAAACCGCUUUCGCCUGUGACGAAGCGUGAGUGACGGUAAUGGGUAAAGAAGCACCGGCUAACUACGUG
rnacentral:rRNA from 1 species